rnacentral:rRNA from 1 species
UACGGGGGGGGCGAGCGUUGUUCGGAAUUACUGGGCGUAAAGGGCGCGUAGGCGGUUCGCUAAGUUGGAUGUGAAAACUCUGGGCUCAACCCAGAGCCUGCAUCCAAAACUGGCGGGCUAGAGUUCUGGAGGGGGUAGGGAAUUCCUGGUGUAGCGGUGAAAUGCGUAGAUAUCAGGAGGAACACCGGUGGCGAAGGCGGUUCUCUGGGCCUUACCUGACGCUGAGGAGCGAAAGCGUGGGGAGCAAACAGG